GACGAACGCUGGCGGCGUGCCUAAUACAUGCAAGUCGAACGAACUCUGGUAUUGAUUGGUGCUUGCAUCAUGAUUUACAUUUGAGUGAGUGGCGAACUGGUGAGUAACACGUGGGAAACCUGCCCAGAAGCGGGGGAUAACACCUGGAAACAGAUGCUAAUACCGCAUAACAACUUGGACCGCAUGGUCCGAGUUUGAAAGAUGGCUUCGGCUAUCACUUUUGGAUGGUCCCGCGGCGUAUUAGCUAGAUGGUGGGGUAACGGCUCACCAUGGCAAUGAUACGUAGCCGACCUGAGAGGGUAAUCGGCCACAUUGGGACUGAGACACGGCCCAAACUCCUACGGGAGGCAGCAGUAGGGAAUCUUCCACAAUGGACGAAAGUCUGAUGGAGCAACGCCGCGUGAGUGAAGAAGGGUUUCGGCUCGUAAAACUCUGUUGUUAAAGAAGAACAUAUCUGAGAGUAACUGUUCAGGUAUUGACGGUAUUUAACCAGAAAGCCACGGCUAACUACGUGCCAGCAGCCGCGGUAAUACGUAGGUGGCAAGCGUUGUCCGGAUUUAUUGGGCGUAAAGCGAGCGCAGGCGGUUUUUUAAGUCUGAUGUGAAAGCCUUCGGCUCAACCGAAGAAGUGCAUCGGAAACUGGGAAACUUGAGUGCAGAAGAGGACAGUGGAACUCCAUGUGUAGCGGUGAAAUGCGUAGAUAUAUGGAAGAACACCAGUGGCGAAGGCGGCUGUCUGGUCUGUAACUGACGCUGAGGCUCGAAAGUAUGGGUAGCAAACAGGAUUAGAUACCCUGGUAGUCCAUACCGUAAACGAUGAAUGCUAAGUGUUGGAGGGUUUCCGCCCUUCAGUGCUGCAGCUAACGCAUUAAGCAUUCCGCCUGGGGAGUACGGCCGCAAGGCUGAAACUCAAAGGAAUUGACGGGGGCCCGCACAAGCGGUGGAGCAUGUGGUUUAAUUCGAAGCUACGCGAAGAACCUUACCAGGCCUUGACAUACUAUGCAAAUCUAAGAGAUUAGACGUUCCCUUCGGGGACAUGGAUACAGGUGGUGCAUGGUUGUCGUCAGCUCGUGUCGUGAGAUGUUGGGUUAAGUCCCGCAACGAGCGCAACCCUUAUUAUCAGUUGCCAGCAUUAAGUUGGGCACUCUGGUGAGACUGCCGGUGACAAACCGGAGGAAGGUGGGGAUGACGUCAAAUCAUCAUGCCCCUUAUGACCUGGGCUACACACGUGCUACAAUGGAUGGUACAACGAGUUGCGAACUCGCGAGAGUAAGCUAAUCUCUUAAAGCCAUUCUCAGUUCGGAUUGUAGGCUGCAACUCGCCUACAUGAAGUCGGAAUCGCUAGUAAUCGCGGAUCAGCAUGCCGCGGUGAAUACGUUCCCGGGCCUUGUACACACCGCCCGUCACACCAUGAGAGUUUGUAACACCCAAAGUCGGUGGGGUAACCUUUUAGGAACUAGCCGCCUAAGGUGGGACAGAUGAUUAGGGUG
rnacentral:rRNA from 1 species